GAUCAUGGCUCAGGACGAACGCUGGCGGCGUGCCUAAUACAUGCAAGUCGAACGAACCGCGACUAGGUGCUUGCACUUGGUCAAGAUGAGUGGCGAACGGGUGAGUAACACGUGGGUAACCUACCUCAUAGUGGGGGAUAACAGUCGGAAACGACUGCUAAUACCGCAUAGGACAUAGGAUCACAUGAUCCAGUGAGGAAAGGUGGCGCAAGCUAUCGCUAAGAGAUGG
rnacentral:rRNA from 1 species